GGACAUUUUAGAAAUCCAGGCCUAAGUGUCAGCUAGGUACCUCAUCAAACCCCAAAUUGCUUCUCUUCUCCCUUCCCCCAGAUCCGUUAAGAUGAAAAAGUCAACCUGCAUGUCAUCAAGCCAACAAUGUUAGUCGAAAUUAUGGCUCAGCAUGAUUGUCUCUAAUGGAGGCACAAGCACACAGGACAGCGUGGGUCUGGAAUUUUACCCUGUAUGACUCCAAAGAGUAGUUCAACCAUUCUAGAGAAAAACUCCACCUAUAAAAUAAAGUCAGGCUUCUUUGCAAUUAAAUGUAGCCACAUGACCUAUCCUGGUCUGUGAAACAUAAGUGAAAAUCUGUUUUUGGUGACGUUUCUGGAGAAAACCUUUUCAUCCUCAUUUACCUGAAGGAGAGAUAUAAGAAGAAAAUUGUUGACACCAUCUCUUUCUUCCUCACUUAAAAUGUGCACGUGAUUCCAGGAGCUGUGUCAGCCACCUUGUGACCAAACAGUGAAAACGAAGAUUAAAAGGCAGCACAUUAAAACAAGUGCAGCAGGCUGGGCAUGGUGGCUCACGCCUAUAAUCUUGGCACUUUGGGAGGCUGAGGCAGGUGGAACGUGAGGUCAGGAGUUCAAGACUAGCCUGGCCAAUAUGGUGAAACCUCAUCUAUACUAAAAAUAUAAAAAAUUAGCUGGGCGUGAUGGUGCACACCUGUAGUCCCAGAUACUCGGGAGACUGAGGCAGGAGAAUUGCUUGAACCCAGGAGGUGGAGGUUGCAGUGAGCCAAGAUCACACCACUGCACUCCAGCCUGGGUGGCACAGCAAGACUCCAUCUCAAAAACAAGGAGAAAAAAAAAACAGUAUGGUGGUUACCAGGGGCUAGAAGGUGUCAGUCAAAUAAUACAAAAUUUCAGUUAGAUAUAAAGAAUAACUCCAAGACAUCCAUUGUACAACAUGGUGACUACAGUCAAUAACAAUGUAUUGUAUCCUUAAAAAUUGUUAAGAAAGCAGAUCUUCAGGAUUCUCACCAAGAAAAAAUAGGUAUGUGAGGAAAUGCAUAGCAAAUUAUCUUUUAUUUGCCAUUCCACAAUGUAUACACACUUCAAAACAUGUUCUACAUAGUAAAUUUAUAAAAUUACUUUGUCAAUUAACGAAAUGUUUAAAAAGAUGAAUAAACAUUGUCCCUAUGUCAGAAUUCCAGUAGACUCUCUCCUAUUACUAAGUUAAGUACUUCAGGCAAGUGUUCUAAUUAUCUUGAGCUGCAAACUUAAUUUUAUUGAUCCAAUUGCAUACUUAAAAAAGAAGGCUAACUAUAUGUAGGGGUUCUCCAUGGUGGUAUGGCUAACACAGAUCUGAAGGAGUCUACUCUCUAGUGUCUGUUACAUAUUUUCACUUUCUCUCAAAGGUGACUCAUCCUCAAAGAUAUACCAUUAGCAUCUGCAGACAUGGAACCAAUGGAUUCUACUGAAAGGUUACUCAAACAUAACUGAAAGGCAAAAUCAUUUGUCAAUAAUACAUUUAAUAAAAAUUUGUUGAACCAAUUGUCUACCAAGCACUAUUCCGACCAUAAAACGGUGAAUGAAAUAAAGUUUCAGUUUUCCUAAUAGAGGAAAGAGAAAACUAAAGUGAAACAAACAGGAAACAAAUUCCAACUAUGAUGUGACAAAUACCUCAAUGUGUGGAGGUAGCUUGAGAACUGGGCAACAGGUAGAGGCUGGAUGGAUUUUGAAGGUCAUGCUAAAAAUAUGAACAGUAGGGAGAUUCUGGUGAAGUCUCUUUGGGAGGUAAUGAAGUCAUAAGUGGUUAGAGCUCUCAUGAAUGGAAUUAAUGCCCUUAUAAAAGAGGCCUCAGAGAGCUUCUCUGCCUCCUCCACCUUGUGAAAUGCAGCAUGAGGGAGACAUCUAUGAACCAGAAAAUGGACCCUCACCAGAUAUUGAGUCUGCUGGCACCUUGGUCUUGGACUUCCCUAUGUCCAGAAAGCGAGA
rnacentral:lncRNA from 1 species